rnacentral:rRNA from 1 species
CGCACGGUGAGUAACACGUAUGCAACCUGCCUGCCACAGCCGGAUAAUCGGGAGAAAUUCCGUCUAAUACGGCAUAAUGCAUCGACGGGACAUCCUGUUGGUGCCAAAGGUUAAUUCCGGUGGCGGAUGGGCAUGCGUCGCAUUAGUUAGUUGGCGGUGUAACGGACCACCAAGACGACGAUGCGUAGGGGUUCUGAGAGGAAGGUCCCCCACACUGGUACUGAGACACGGACCAGACUCCUACGGAAGGCAGCAG